AUGGGGUUGAUACGUCCCCCAUCUUAACUGAUAUGCCACAUAAAGAAUAAACCAAUCGGAUAGUUUUUAAUUAUCUGAGUGGCGUAGC
rnacentral:sRNA from 1 species